CCUACGGGGGGCAGCAGUGGGGAAUAUUGCACAAUGGGGGAAACCCUGAUGCAGCGACGCCGCGUGCGUGAAGAAGGAUUUCGGUACGUAAAGCUCUAUCAGCAGGGAAGAAAAUGACGGUACCUGACUAAGAAGCCCCGGCUAACUACGUGCCAGCAGCCGCGGUAAUACGUAGGGGGCAAGCGUUAUCCGGAUUUACUGGGUGUAAAGGGAGCGUAGACGGCAGCGCAAGUCUGGAGUGAAAUCCCAUGGCUUAACCAUGGAACUGCUGUGGAAACUGUGGAGCUAGAGUGCAGGCGAGGUAGGCGGAAUUCCUAGUGUAGCGGUGAAAUGCGUAGAUAUUAGGAGGAACACCAGUGGCGAAGGCGGCUUACUGGACUGUAACUGACGUUGAGGCUCGAAAGCGUGGGGAGCAAACAGGAUUAGAUACCCGGGUAGUC
rnacentral:rRNA from 1 species